CUCCCCGGCGGGAACAAUCGAACCCUGAACUCCCGCGUGACAGGCGGGGAUACUCACCACUAUACUACCGAGGA